rnacentral:lncRNA from 1 species
AAACAGGCACUGUCUAAUAUAGUAGAACCCCGCUUGUACGUUUUUGAAGGGAUUGUGGAAAAUAAACGUAAGAGCCGGGAAACGUAACAGCCGAAAAACAGGAAAAACGAAAAAAAUAUUUAGUGGUACAGAAUUUUAUUUCAAAGCAUACGCUUGAAAAAAAAAACAGAAACGUGCAACGUGGCCUGGUGCGUUU